GAAUCAACCCUAUCCCUGGGUGAGGCCAGGACCAUGCUGAUGCUCAGAGAAGGGAGAAUGGAUGAUUUUCUACAGUCCUUGGGACCAUCCUUCCAGGACAGAAGCCUUGCAAACAACCCAGUCAUUUCCUGUCUCUACCAGGUGUUCACCACAGCCCAACAGGUCCUGGGCCAGCAAUUCCCCAGCUUCAUUUUGGGAGCUUCCUGUGAAGAGGCAAACGAGUCAAAGAGAGCUGUAGAUGGGGUCCCAAGCCCUCUGGGAAGCGGAGCACAGUCUGGGCCAAUUCGGUGCCUCAAACAUCCAUCCCUUCAACUGUCCCAUCUUGCUCUUCCUACACUUCCCUCUACCACCUCUUCUGACCUCCACAACUGGGGCCAAGAACAGAAGCUUUGGUGAGCAGACCACUCACCAAUCUGCCACAAACCUAAGCCCCGAUACUGGUGUGCAAGGAGGAUGGAGUACACGAGGCCCUUGGCCAUUGAGAAAAGAGGAUAAGUAGAAAAACCAGACUCAUACAGGUUUUCUGGACGACCAGGUCAUCCACUGCAAGGACAGCAACAGGGGGGUUGGAAGUCAUGCUGGGGACAUUCUCUGGGACCCACACAGAAAGAAUGGUGCUAUGGGAGUACCAUGUGGCAUGAAAGGCCAUGCUCUGAAGCUGCUCCGCAUAUGACUCUCCCCAGCACCCUCUCUCCCAUCUUGGGUACCUGGCCUGACCAGAAGCUGCAGGACACCUGGAAAUCCCUGCACUGUGCCUGUUUUGAAGUAAAGGGGGCCUGGGUGCAGGCAAAUUUGUAUGACCUGAAUUGCCAUGCUCCCAUUAUGGUAAUGCCCCGGGAACUUCUGCAGCUCACUGAGGCAGACACAGAGUCAGAGGUGCCAGCUCCACGGCUCCUUCCAGCAUCUCCUCCAUCAGCUGUUCCAGACCUGGAACAAGAGCCUGUGCCUUCUUCAUGCGUACCAGGUCAUGAGCCGCAGUCAGUUCCACCACCAGCUUUCCUGGGGAUUGUCACUCCUUCCCUAAGCAUAAAGACAGAGUGACCUCCAGCCCCAGAGGCGACCUACCACUGGUGCGUAACCCCCGAGCACCAGCUGCAUGAGGAGAAGCCCGGGCUCAUGGACUUCCCUCCCAAACUGGUGGCAGAGCAGUUGACAUCCAUAGACGUGGUGAGCAGCUGGGCACCCAGGACGGGGCUGGGACAGGCUUGCUUUCUGUUGUCAUCUGCCCCAGACCUGCCUUUCCCUGAUGUGGGCUUGUAUGGUCGGGGUCCAAAUCUCAGCUCCAUCACUUACCAACCACAUCAACCUGUCCAGUUCCUGAAACACUUGCUUUCACUGUCCAGCUGCAGACUAUGGAGAUAGACCCUGAGAAGGACUGAUGCAGAGUUCCUGUGUCGAUUAAAUGAGCCAGAACUGAUAGGCAAAUGGACAGGCCCUGGUCCUUGGGUGGGGGAGGGCAACUCACUGUGUGCGGCCAAGCCCAUGGCUCACCCACGCAUCAGCCUUGGAGGCCGAGCACCCUACACUUAUUAGGCAUCUAAUGUGUGCUGAAGUACAGGGAGGCAGACAAAACUGUGGUUGCACCUCCCUCUGUGAGAAUGUGCUGCUGAAAGGGGAGUAGGGCAAGAGGCAUGAACAGUGGGAGGGGAAGAUGCCCCUUUGAGGAGCCCCCUUGAACUGCCACCUGUAACUUGAAGUUAGUGGGGUGAUCAGGGUACAAAUGGCCUCUCCUCCCCCCUGCCCCGCCCCGGCAGGAUCUGCUCCUCGUUCAUCCUGUACUGGACUCCCUCAGUGAAGAGGAAUGAAGUGCAGUCCAGAGACUCUAACUGGGUUCAGGCCAAUUUCUGCGCUUGCUGAACCCCAGCUCUGACAUGGGACCCCUACGUAGGACAUGAAUCUUGCAUGUGAAAUGGCUGUGUGAAAAGACCCUGAACAGCCAGGGGAAUUUUAAAAAAGAAAACCAUAUCUGGGGGCAUCACAAUGCCAGAUUUCAGAUUGUACUAGAAAGCUGUGGUCAUCAAGACUGUGUGGUACUGGCACAAAAACGGACACAUAGAUCGGUGGAACAGAAUAGAGAACCCAGAAGUGGACCCUCAACUUUAUGGUCAACUAAUAUUCGAUAAAGGAGGAAAGACUAUCCAUUGGAAGAAAGACAGUCUCUUCAAUAAGUGGUGCUGGGAAAAUU
rnacentral:lncRNA from 1 species